rnacentral:rRNA from 1 species
UACGGAGGAUCCAAGCGUUAUCCGGAAUCAUUGGGUUUAAAGGGUCCGUAGGCGGGACAAUAAGUCAGUGGUGAAAGUUUUUGGCUUAACCAAAAAAUUGCCAUUGAUACUGUUGUUCUUGAAUUAUGGUGAAGUAACUAGAAUAUGUAGUGUAGCGGUGAAAUGCAUAGAUAUUACAUGGAAUACCAAUUGCGAAGGCAGGUUACUAACCAUGGAUUGACGCUGAUGGACGAAAGCGUGGGUAGCGAAC